rnacentral:rRNA from 1 species
GUUGAACGCUGGCGGCAUGCUUUACACAUGCAAGUCGAACGGUAACAGGGUGCUUGCACCGCUGACGAGUGGCGAACGGGUGAGUAAUGCGUCGGAACGUGCCGAGUAGUGGGGGAUAACGCAGCGAAAGUUGUGCUAAUACCGCAUACGUACUGAGGUAGAAAGUGGGGGACCUUCGGGCCUCACGCUAUUCGAGCGGCCGACGUCUGAUUAGCUAGUAGGUGAGGUAAAGGCUCACCUAGGCGACGAUCAGUAGCGGGUCUGAGAGGAUGAUCCGCCACACUGGGACUGAGGCACGGCCCAGACUCCUACGGGAGGCAGCAGUGGGGAAUUUUGGACAAUGGGCGAAAGCCUGAUCCAGCCAUGCCGCGUGUCUGAAGAAGGCCUUCGGGUUGUAAAGGACUUUUGUCGGGGAGGAAAUCCCCAGCGUUAAUACCGCUGGGGGAUGACAGUACCUGAAGAAUAAGCACCGGCUAACUACGUGCCGGCAGCCGCCGUAA